rnacentral:rRNA from 1 species
CAGCAGCCGCGGGAAUACGGAGGAUCCAAGCGUUAUCCGGAAUCAUUGGGUUUAAAGGGUCCGUAGGCGGUCUUGUAAGUCAGUGGUGAAAGCCCAUCGCUCAACGGUGGAACGGCCAUUGAUACUGCAGGACUUGAAUUAUUGGGAAGUAACUAGAAUAUGUAGUGUAGCGGUGAAAUGCUUAGAGAUUACAUGGAAUACCAAUUGCGAAGGCAGGUUACUACCAAUUGAUUGACGCUGAUGGACGAAAGCGUGGGUAGCGAACAGGAUUAGAUACCCCCGUAGUCCCUGUCUCUUAUAU